UAGUGCUGCUGUACACAUGAGUGACUGGAAGGUUCAUGGUGUCUUCAACAGAAACAGAUUCGGAAGUGAGAUGAGUUUGGAGGGAAAGAUGCUUCUUGUGGUUUUUGUUUGGAGUUUGAGGAAGCCACAGGACAAAUCCAGGACCCUUUGUGUUUGAAUCUGCACAAGUCUUUUGCUUUGGGAUACCAUUAACUCUUAAGUCUAAACCAUAUAGUUAAGCCCCCACGAGGGAAAGAAGUUGACCUCUGACACUUGAAGCCCAGAGGUCUAGGGCUCAAGCUAUUGACAUGGCUUUGUGGUUGACUAAGUGUAUGCAAUAAUCAGCCCAUGAGGAAUCAGUGUCCCCGAACCUUGUUGGAUGUCUCAAGGCCACAAGUCACCACAACCCAUGAUGCUGACCCAUCCUGUUUCUGUAUAGAAACAAGAAGGACCCACAUCUACCUGAGCUAGUGCCUGCAUCUUUGCUAAAUA